GAUCAUGGCUCAGGAUGAACGCUAGCUACAGGCUUAACACAUGCAAGUCGAGGGGCAGCGGGGAUCUAGCUUGCUAGAUUGCCGGCGACCGGCGCACGGGUGAGUAACGCGUAUCCAACCUUCCCCUUAGUAGGGCAUAGCCCGUAGAAAUGCGGAUUAAUACCCUAUGUUUUCCAAUGAGGACAUCUGAGCUGGAACAAAGAUUUAUCGCUAAGGGAUGGGGAUGCGUCUGAUUAGGCAGCAGGCGGGGUAACGGCCCACCUGGCCUACGAUCAGUAGGGGUUCUGAGAGGAAGGUCCCCCACAUUGGAACUGAGACACGGUCCAAACUCCUACGGGAGGCAGCAGUGAGGAAUAUUGGUCAAUGGGCGCGAGCCUGAACCAGCCAAGUAAGCGUGCAGGACGACGGCCCUAUGGGUUGUAAACUGCUUUUAUGCGGGGAUAAAGUGACGUACGUGUACGUUUUUGUAGGUACCGCAUGAAUAAGGACCGGCUAAUUCCGUGCCAGCCGCGGC
rnacentral:rRNA from 1 species